UCGAUUCAGCGGCGGACGGGUGAGUAAUGCCUAGGAAUCUGCCUAGUAGUGGGGGACAACGUUUCGAAAGGAACGCUAAUACCGCAUACGUCCUACGGGAGAAAGUGGGGGAUCUUCGGACCUCACGCUAUUAGAUGAGCCUAGGUCGGAUUAGCUAGUUGGUAGGGUAAAGGCCUACCAAGGCGACGAUCCGUAACUGGUCUGAGAGGAUGAUCAGUCACACUGGAACUGAGACACGGUCCAGACUCCUACGGGAGGCAGCAGUGGGGAAUAUUGGACAAUGGGCGAAAGCCUGAUCCAGCCAUGCCGCGUGUGUGAAGAAGGCCUUCGGGUCGUAAAGCACUUUAAGUUGGGAGGAAGGGCUCAUAGCGAAUACCUGUGAGUUUUGACGUUACCAACAGAAUAAGCACCGGCUAACUUCGUGCCAGCAGCCGCGGUAAUACGAAGGGUGCAAGCGUUAAUCGGAAUUACUGGGCGUAAAGCGCGCGUAGGUGGCUUGAUAAGUUGGAUGUGAAAUCCCCGGGCUCAACCUGGGAACUGCAUCCAAAACUGUCUGGCUAGAGUGCGGUAGAGGGUAGUGGAAUUUCCAGUGUAGCGGUGAAAUGCGUAGAUAUUGGAAGGAACACCAGUGGCGAAGGCGACUACCUGGACUGACACUGACACUGAGGUGCGAAAGCGUGGGGAGCAAACAGGA
rnacentral:rRNA from 1 species